AUUCAUGGUCAUAGUGCCUUGAAUGUGCUUGAUCUCAUCUUAUCUCAGGAGCCAAGCAGGGUCUCAUUGCUUCACGUUUCUCUCCAUUUAGU
rnacentral:rRNA from 1 species